rnacentral:rRNA from 1 species
UCUGCCUUCAGGUCGGGGACAACCACUGGAAACGGUGGCUAAUACCGGAUAUGCCGCAUACGUGAAAGAUUUAUCGCCUGAAGAGGAGCUCGCGUCUGAUUAGCUAGUUGGUGGGGUAAAAGCUCACCAAGGCGACGAUCACUAGCUGGUCUGAGAGGAUGAUCAGCCACACUGGGACUGAGACACGGCCCAGACUCCUACGGGGGGCAGCAGUGGGGAAUUUUCCGCAGUGGGCGAAAGCCUGACGGAGCAAGACCGCGUGAGGGAGGAAGGCUCUUGGGUUGUAAACCUCUUUUCUCAGGGAAGAACAAAGUGACGGCACCUGAGGAAUCUGCCUCGGCUAACUCCGUGCCACCAGCCGCGGUAAUACGGAGGAGGCAAGCGUUAUCCGGAAUUAUUGGGCGUAAAGCCGUCCGCAGGUGGCACUCCAAGUCUGUCGUCAAGAGACUGGGGUUUAACCCUGGAAAGGCGGCGGAAACUGGAAGCGCUAGAGUGUGGUACGGGUAGAGGGAAUUCCCGGGUGUUACCGGUGAAAUGCGUUACAGAACGGGAAAGAUCAUCCAGGCGCGAAAACGCUCUCACUGGAA